rnacentral:rRNA from 1 species
UCUUGGUCCAUUAGAGGAAGUAAAAGUCGUAACAAGGUUUCCGUAGGUGAACCUGCGGAAGGAUCAUUACAGAGUUCAUGCCCGAAAGGGUAGACCUCCCACCCUUGUGUAUUAUUACUUUGUUGCUUUGGCGAGCUGCCUUCGGGCCUUGUAUGCUCGCCAGAGAAUACCAAAACUCUUUUUAUUAAUGUCGUCUGAGUACUAUAUAAUAGUUAAAACUUUCAACAACGGAUCUCUUGGUUCUGGCAUCGAUGAAGAACGCAGCGAAAUGCGAUAAGUAAUGUGAAUUGCAGAAUUCAGUGAAUCAUCGAAUCUUUGAACGCACAUUGCGCCCCUUGGUAUUCCGGGGGGCAUGCCUGUUCGAGCGUCAUUUCAACCCUCAAGCUUAGCUUGGUAUUGAGUCUAUGUCAGUAAUGGCAGGCUCUAAAAUCAGUGGCGGCGCCGCUGGGUCCUGAACGUAGUAAUAUCUCUCGUUACAGGUUCUCGGUGUGCUUCUGCCAAAACCCAAAUUUUUCUAUGGUUGACCUCGGAUCAGGUAGGGAUACCCGCUGAACUUAAGCAUAUCAUAGCCCGGAGGAAA